AAUCUCCCGUCGGUUCCUUUUUGCAUGUUCUUCGGCGAUCGAUUAGUGAUACCUCCUCCUCCUCCAAAUCCGUCGACGAAAUCACUGUUGCCGGAGUCCACCUGGGAACACAUCUUGUUCUCCGAAAAGUCUCAACCUUUCCCUUCCCGAUCAACCCGUUCUUCUUCAGGAAUCGAAACAGGAACCAAGCUCUACGUAUCCAAUCUGAUAAGUUUGGUGUCAUGAACUAUGACAUCAAGGUUUGGAAGACAAAGAUCAAAACUUUGUGAAGGUAUCUUUCUGACACUUUGACUUCUCGUUUUGAUAGUAUGAUUUAACCUUGUAUUGAUUGGUAUAUGAACAUUGAGAUUGUAGUUGAUGUUCUGAUUCAGUUGUGUUGUUGUGUUCCGGAUUCCUUCUUUGUCUUUAAGAAGAAGGACAUGCUCUAACUGGCUGUCUCUCGGCUGUGUCACUACUAGGUGGGCAUCUAAUGAAAAAACCACUUGUUUCCUCAUAUUCUCUCUUUUAAAAAAAAAAAAAAAAUAUCAAUCUUUUCUUCUUCUAUCAUCUCCACAAACUCCAACAUCUCUCGCUCAAAAAGGAGCCAUGAAUGGUGAAGAAAGCUUCGCUGAAGAUUGCUCUGAGUUUGUUGUAGUUGACCCUUCUGGAAGAUAUGGAAGAUACGAGGAAGUACUUGGCAAGGGAGCUUCGAAGACAGUGUAAUCGCAUUCAUCUUCUCUCUUUGUCUUUUUUUUUUUGAUGAGUACGAAGGGAUAGAAGUGGCAUGGAACCAAGUAAAGCUUCGGAACUUCACGAGGAAUCCUGAAGAGUUAGAGAAAUUCUUCAGAGAGAUUCAUCUGCUCAAGACCUUGAAUCAUCAGAACAUCAUGAGAUUCUACACUUCUUGGGUUGAUACUGACAAUUUAUCAAUCAAUUUUGUCACUGAACUCUUCACCUCCGGCACUCUCAGACAGUAUAGGUUGAGACAUAGAAGAGUGAAUAUAAAAGCGGUGAAGCAAUGGUGUAAUUAAGCAGAUUCUAAAGGGCUUCUCUAUCUCCAUAGCCGUUCUCCUCCAAUCAUCCAUAGAGAUCUCAAAUGUGAUAACAUCUUCAUCAAUGGAAACCAAUGAGAAGUUAAGAUUGGUGACCUUGGACUCGCUGCCAUUCUUCGUAAAUCUCAUGUUGUUCGCUGCGUUGGUACUUUUCAGAAAUGGUGUGGAGUUUAUGUAUGCUUUUCUUUUAGAGAAAUUGCAUUCUACACACAAAAAGUUUAGCAUAAUUAAGGGAAUACACAUUUAGAGUUUGCUUAGUUUGUGUCGAAAUUUUUCGGACCGGUAUACCCCUACUACGUACGUUAUUAUUAUACAGCCUCACUCCAAGACUAUAUCUUCUUAAUAUUCACACGCAAAGUACUCAGUCA